UUUUUUUUUUUUUAAGACAAGCUCUGACCAUGUAGACCAAGCUGGCCUGCUGAACUCAAGAGAUAAAGAGAUCCACUUGCUUCUGCUUCUUGAGUGUACACCAUCACGUCAGGCCACAAUCUCAAGUGGUUUGUUUGUUGGCUUGUUUUUUUGAGACAACUUCUCUGUGUAGCCCUGGCUGUCCUGGAACUCACUCUGUAGAUUCAAACUCAGAGAUCCAUCUGCCUCUGCCUCCCAAGUGCUGGGAUUAAUGGCAUGUGCUACCACCACACAGGUAGCCUGCUUUGUAGGGCCUUUUUGUUUCAGCGUUUUGAGACGGGAUCAUACUGUAAUUGUAGGAUUUGGGAAGCAGAGGCAGGAGGAGCACUGCCACUCUGAGGCCCCGUCUACAUAGUACCAGGAUUGCAUAGAGCCUGCCUGGAAACAAUAAAGCCUUCCGCUCCGUCACAACGGGAGCACUGGGAUUCUCUUACUGAUGCCCUAUCCACCUAGAUGUGAGCAAGCUUACACCAUAGCUUCAAGUGCCUCUGCCUCCAAGCCUUUCCCACUGUGAUGACCGUGAAGUGAUGUAGGGAGUGGAUGCCCUGGACCAUGACAGCACAGCCAUGUGUGCAGGAUCUCAGCCACGAAGGAUGCCUGAAGGUUUUGGACCUACUUUACCAACCUUAAAGGAUUAUGUGAGUAAUAAACUUGGGGGUAGGAGGCUGCAAAAGGCUCAGUGGAUGAAGGUGCUUAGCAUCAUCUCUGACAGCCUGAAUUUAAUCCAAGGACCCUUACAGGGUCAGGAGAGAACUGACUUGGGUUGUCCUCUGAUCUCCCCACGUACACUGGCAUGCACAUAGCCAUCGCUCCACAUAAUACACAAAAAUUGAGAAGUCUUUUAUGAUUUUUGUUUUGCUUGAGAGAGGGCCUUUUGAGUUUUAUAGCCCAGGCUAGCCUCAAGCUUGCUGUGUAGUUGAGAAUGACUUAGAAUUGAUUCUACUGGGAUGUUAGAGGUAUUGCCUGAUUGCAGCCAGGGGGCCUCAGGCUAGUUUAGAAAUGCCAGCUUAAGGGGCUGCAGAUGAAGCUCAGUUGGUAGAGCGCUAAGUCCUGGUUUCAAUAUCAAGCACCACAUAAAUUGGUUGGCAGAUGUGUGUAGUCCCACUCCUAGAGAGGCAUAGGCAGGAUGAUCUGGAGUCCUUGGCCUUUUAGUAAAUUUGUGGUCAGUCAGGUCUAAAUUAGACUAUCUCAAAAC
rnacentral:lncRNA from 1 species